AGUGAACGCUGGCGGUAGGCCUAACACAUGCAAGUCGAGCGACCGCACAGUAAGAGCUUGCUCUUACGGGUGGCGAGUGGCGGACGGGUGAGACAUACAUAGGAAUCUACUUUUACGUGGGGGAUAACGUGGGGAAACUUACGCUAAUACCGCAUACGUCCUACGGGUGAAAGCAGGAGAUCUUCGGACCUUGCGCGAUUGUAUGAGCCGAUGUCGGAUUAGCUAGUUGGCGGGGUAACGGCACACCAAGGCGACGAUCCGUAGCCGGUCUGAGAGGAUGAUCAGCCACACUGGAACUGAGACACGGUCCAGACUCCUACGGGAGGCAGCAGUGGGGAAUAUUGCACAAUGGGCGCAAGCCUGAUCCAGCCAUACCGCGUGGGUGAAGAAGGUCUUCGGGUCGUAAAGCUCUUUUGUUAGGAAAGAAAAGCAGCAUGUUAAUACCCCGCCGUUUUGACGGUACCCAAACAAUAAGCACCGGCUAACUUCGUG
rnacentral:rRNA from 1 species